rnacentral:rRNA from 1 species
GGUUGAUCCUGCCAGUAGUCAUAUGCUUGUCUCAAAGACUAAGCCAUGCAUGUCUAAGUAUAAACACCUUUAUACUGCGAAACUGCGAACGGCUCAUUAUAUCAGUUAUAAUCUACUUGAUCGUAUCCUCUUACUUGGAUAACCGUAGUAAUUCUAGAGCUAAUACAUGCAAAAGUUCCCGACUGGUGACGGAAGGGAAGUAUUUAUUAGGUCCAAAAUCAAUGCUGGCCAUUCCAAACUGGGGCAACCUGGGGUCAGGAAAGUUGAUGAUUCAUAAUAACUAAACGAAGCG